GACCGCAACCAUACCACGUUGGAAACACCGGUUCUUGUCUGAUCACCGAAGUUAAGCAACGUCGGGCCCGGUUAGUAUUUGCAUGGUUGACCGGCUGGGAAUACCUUCCUGAAAGUUGACUGUAC
rnacentral:rRNA from 1 species